UAAGGAAUAUUGCGCAAUGGGCGAAAGCCUGACGCAGCGACGCCGCGUGGGGGAUGAAGGUCUUCGGAUUGUAAACCCCUUUCGGGAGGGAAGAUGGAAUGGGGUAACCCAUUCUGACGGUACCUCCAGAAGCAGCCACGGCUAACUUCGUGCCAGCAGCCGCGGUAAUACGAAGGUGGCAAGCGUUAUUCGGAUUUACUGGGCGUACAGGGAGCGUAGGCGGUUCGGUAAGCCCUUUGUGAAAUCUCCAGGCUUAACCUGGAAAAGUCGGAGGGGACUGCCGGGCUAGAGGACGGGAGAGGAGCGCGGAAUUCCCGGUGUAGCGGUGAAAUGCGUAGAGAUCGGGAGGAAGGCCGGUGGCGAAGGCGGCGCUCUGGAACGUUUCUGACGCUGAGGCUCGAAAGCGUGGGGAGCAAACAGGAUUAGAUACCCAAGUAGUCCCUGAGCGGGCUGGCAAGGCGCAU
rnacentral:rRNA from 1 species